AGAGUUUGAUCCUGGCUCAGAAUGAACGCUGGCGGCGUGCCUAACACAUGCAAGUCGGAUGUGCCGCAAGGUGCAUGGCAGACGGGUGAGUAACGCGUAGGGAAUCUACCUUUUUGUGGGGAAUAACGUUCCGAAAGGAAUGGUAAUACCGCAUAAGACCAUCGGCUGGGAUGCGGAUGGUGAAAGCUGGGGACCGCAAGGCCUAGCGCGAGAAGAGGAUCCUGCGUCUGAUUAGCUAGUUGGUGAGGUAACGGCCCACCAAGGCGACGAUCUGUAGCGGGUCUGAGAGGAUGAUCCGCCACACUGGAACUGAGACACGGUCCAGACUCCUACGGGAGGCAGCAGUGGGGAAUUUUGGACAAUGGGGGCAACCCUGAUCCAGCCAUGCCGCGUGAGUGAAGAAGGCCUUCGGGUUGUAAAGCUCUUUCAGCCGGGAAGAAAACGCAUGGGUUAAUACCCUGUGUGGAUGACGGUACCGGAAUAAGAAGCACCGGCUAACUACGUGCCAGCAGCCGCGGUAAUACGUAGGGUGCGAGCGUUAAUCGGAAUUACUGGGCGUAAAGCGUGCGCAGGCGGUUUUGUAAGACAGGCGUGAAAUCCCCGGGCUUAACCUGGGAACUGCGUUUGUGACUGCAAGGCUAGAGUACGGCAGAGGGGGGUGGAAUUCCACGUGUAGCAGUGAAAUGCGUAGAGAUGUGGAGGAACACCAAUGGCGAAGGCAGCCCCCUGGGUCGAUACUGACGCUCAUGCACGAAAGCGUGGGUAGCAAACAGGAUUAGAUACCCUGGUAGUCC
rnacentral:rRNA from 1 species